CACACUGAGAGAGAUGCUUCAGGAUUUCUUGGAACACAUCAUCUGACAAAUGUUCAGUGUAGGAAAGGAUAUACUAUGGAGAGAAAGGAGCAGUGUAAACGGAAUCAAGAAAGCCACAUGCAAUCAUGAAAAACAACCUCACCUGUCCAGCCUGAUUCUGACCCUACAAAGGCAAUAUUGAUGACGAGUGCAGUAAUGGGGUGAAACUUGCAGCUACGUUUCUUGAUUUUGUAAGGAUGGCACUAUAGAAAUUCCUGGUGUUUGUACCCAGCAACGUUUAUUUUCCCCUAUUUACUCCUGUAUGGAUGUCAGGAAACACCGUUGGCCAUCAGUACUAAGUGCCUCUCUGAAAUUACAUUUCUUCUGGACACUCAAAUACCAGUGGAACGUCAAGCUUCCCAGUGUAGUAAUGUCCCAUAGACAUUACAAUGAUUAUGUGAUUUUACAAUUCAGCUACAGCAGAAAAAAAUCCACAAAAACACGUAAGUUCACUUUCACAUGAAAAAUAGGCUGUAAUAAAUUAUAAUUUCAUUGCUAUUUGUGUGAAAACAACCUGUAUUGGAAGGGAAUAGGCUCACUGCAGUAUAUUUUCAAGAUGUGUUGAAAUACAGCAUCAAUUAUGUCCAUAGAAUGAAGCAGAAAAUUACUGCACAGAAAUAAUUUGAGGCUUUAAACUGGAUUGUGGUUUUUUUUCCUUCAAAGCAGUUUGCACUUGAUUAACUCCUGUUAUCUCUUCUCCCAGGUAGGCUUGGCUUUGCCCAUUUGCAAUUCAGAAUUCUGGUGCUAUUCUGAUUAACUUACAAAACUUUGCCUUUCAUAACUUUUUCCUUCCUAACCUAUAUUUAAGAAA